AACGAACGCUGGCGGCGUGGAUAAGACAUGCAAGUCGAACGGGAACUUCAGCUGUAGCAAUACAGUUGAAGUUUUAGUGGCGAACGGGUGCGUAACACGUGGGCAAUCUGCCGAGAAGUGGGGGAUAGCUCGCCGAAAGGCGAAUUAAUACCGCAUAUGAUCAGCUAAGACAUCUUAGCGACAUCAAAGUCCGGGGCAACCUGGCGCUUUUUGAGGAGCCCGCGGCCUAUCAGCUAGUUGGUGAGGUAACGGCUCACCAAGGCUAUGACGGGUAGCUGGUCUGAGGAGGACGACCAGUCACACUGGAACUGAGACACGGUCCAGACACCUACGGGUGGCAGCAGUCGAGAAUUUUUCUCAAUGGGGCAACCCUGAAGGAGCGACGCCGCGGUGGAGGAUGAAGG
rnacentral:rRNA from 1 species